rnacentral:antisense_RNA from 1 species
UUCCAUGGCGGGUCGAGCGCGGCAGCCGCAAGGCUGGGCCGGUUUCUCACCUCUGACCGGCGUUUCCAACCUCGCUGUCUGACCCGCCGCCCUC